rnacentral:sRNA from 1 species
UAAGUACACAUAGAAGGGACGAUGGGUGAAAGAUGGACUUUUAAUCUUAUUUUCAUGAGCAGUCGAAAACGAAUGUUUCAGUAAAAUAGGAUUAGUCUGCCCAUUUCCAAAAAAAGUAUUAAAAGCGGUGUUUUCUGCCGUUUUAUUUGCUGACUAAUCCUUCCAAAAUAAUUGGAGGGAUUUUUUU